GCCGGCGUAGCUCAGUUGGUAGAGCAACUGAUUUGUAAUCAGUAGGUCCACGGUUCGAAUCCGUGCGUCGGCU
rnacentral:tRNA from 1 species